GACGAACGCUGGCGGCGUGCUUAACACAUGCAAGUCGAACGGAAAGGCCCUGCUCUUGCGGGGUGCUCGAGUGGCGAACGGGUGAGUAACACGCGAGUAACCUGCCCCUGACUUUGGGAUAACUCUAGGAAACUGGGGCUAAUACCGGAUAGGAGCUCUUGAUGCAUGGUGGGGGUUGGAAAGUUUCGGCGGUUGGGGAUGGACUCGCGGCUUAUCAGCUUGUUGGGGGGGUAGUGGCUUACAAAGGCUUUGACGGGUAGCCGGCCUGAGAGGGUAACCGGCCACAUUGGGACUGAGAUACGGCCCAGUCUCCUACGGGAGGCAACGGUGGGGAAUAUUGCGCAAUAGGCGGAAGCCUGAUACAGCGACGCCGCGUGCGGAAUGACGGCCUUCGGGUUGUAAACCGCUUUCGCCUGUGACGAGGCGUGAGUGACGGUAAUGGGUAAGGAAGCACCGGCUAACUACGUG
rnacentral:rRNA from 1 species